rnacentral:rRNA from 1 species
UAGGGAAUCUUCCACAAUGGACGCAAGUCUGAUGGAGCAACGCCGCGUGAGUGAAGAAGGUUUUCGGAUCGUAAAGCUCUGUUGUUGGUGAAGAAGGAUAGAGGCAGUAACUGGUCUUUAUUUGACGGUAAUCAACCAGAAAGUCACGGCUAACUACGUGCCAGCAGCCGCGGUAAUACGUAGGUGGCAAGCGUUGUCCGGAUUUAGUGGGCGUAAAGCGAGCGCAGGCGGAAUGAUAAGUCUGAUGUGAAAGCCCACGGCUCAACCGUGGAACUGCAUCGGAAACUGUCAUUCUUGAGUGCAGAGGAGGAGAGUGGAAUUCCAUGUGUAGCGGUGGAAUGCGUAGAUAUAUGGAAGAACACCAGUGGCGAAGGCGGCUCUCUGGUCUGCAACUGACGCUGAGGCUCGAAAGCAUGGGUAGCGAACAGG